UACGGAGGGCGCGAGCGUUGUUCGGAAUCACUGGGCGUAAAGCGCGUGUAGGCGGCCGAGCAAGUCGGAUGUGAAAUCCCGAGGCUCAACCUCGGAACUGCAUUCGAAACUGCUCGGCUCGAGUCCCGGAGAGGAUGGCGGAAUUCCCGGUGUAGGGGUGAAAUCCGUAGAUAUCGGGAGGAACACCAGUGGCGAAGGCGGUCAUCUGGACGGUGACUGACGCUGAGACGCGAAAGCGUGGGGAGCAAACAGG
rnacentral:rRNA from 1 species